rnacentral:rRNA from 1 species
AUGCCUUCGGCACCUAAAAAGUGUUUGCCACCUAGAGCUGCUAGUCGUAUUAAAGUGGCAGUGAAAUCACCUCUUGUUUUGAGUGAUGAUGAUGAUUUUGUUUUGCGUGGUGAGAGAACAGUGUUCACCAGGAGCAAAUCAGUGGAGGAGCCAUUGGUAGUGUCUAAUAAAAGGCCAUUUGCUCUGUCAACUAGGCUAAGAAUGCCUGUGCGUGUGCUCAAGCCGUCCAAGUUUCCAUUCGCGGUUGUUGCAAAACAAAUUUUGGACCUAAUACUUAGCAAGGAGUUUCUCGACAAGUAUCCAAAGUGA